rnacentral:rRNA from 1 species
GACAAACAGGCCGAGUUAAGUUUAAUUGGUAUAAAAGGAAGUUAAAAUUAGUUUAAUAGCGGAAAAGAUUAAUUUAGUGUGAAGGAGUGGAAUCCGUACACAAAAAAUUGUAUUGGUGCUUUUUGUAAUUUGAUGCUUCGAAAGUUAAAUAAGAGACCGGGAUUAGAUACCCCGUUAUUUUUUUUAUAAAUUUUGAUUAUUAGUUUAAAUUUACCUGAGUAUUACGGGUCGAACAAUUUUAUUAAUUAAAGUUUGAUUAUGGAGUUGCUUGUGUACUUAAAACUCAAAAAACUUGGCGGUGCCUUAUUUCCUCCCAGGGGAACCUGUCCUGUGAUCGAUAAUCCACGAUUUAUCUUACUUUUCGUUGAAUUUUUAGCAGUUUGUAUACCGUCGUCGUCAGAUUACCUUUAAGAGUUAAAAAGUUGUCGGAUAAAUAAGAUAGGUUAAGUUCAAGCGUUGUUAAGCUGAGCUAAAAAAUUGGUUUUGAUGUCAGAUCAAGGUGCAGCUUAUGGAAAAGUAGAGAUGGGUUACAAUAUAAAUUUUAUACUAUGGAUACUAGCUUGUAAUAGUUAGGUGAAAGUGGACUUGGAAGUAAUAUUAUUAUGAUUUAAAUUAAUAAGUUUAUGUGAACAUAGGUACUAAGGUGCGC